CCCUCCUGCUGGCCAGUCCAACUGCUAAAAAUAGUCCCACCUGCAGCCAGAAUCAAUACCAUCACAUUUUCCACAGCAGGCAUCAGCUUGGCAGACAAUGGAGACGAUUGUGCUGUUCUCGCUCUCCCCCACGCAGCUUCCCAGGGCAGAGGAAACUUUCAAAGUGGGAUGGGGGGCACUGGAACUCACACGGUGGCUCCUAGAGCAGGGUUGGGCAAGACUGUGGUUGCAACCAAGUCCUGGGAGAGGAGAGAGAGAGAGAGAGAGGAGGGGCAGAGGCAGAGGGAGAAGCAGACGCCCCGCUGAGCAGGGAGCCUGACGCGGGGCUCAAACCCAGGAUCCUGAAAUCAUGACCUGAGCCGAAGGCAGACGCUUAACCACUGAGCCACCCAGGCAAACCAGGACUUAACAUUGUGAAGAGACCCAAUCUGUCCGUUUUAUUUCCACUUUUGCAAAUAACAACGAAUGGAUUCUACAUAAAUGAGGUAAUAUAACGUCUUCGGUAACAGUUA